AUUGAACGCUGGCGGCAGGCUUAACACAUGCAAGUCGAGCGGAGAGAAGUAGCUUGCUACUGAUCUUAGCGGCGGACGGGUGAGUAAUGCUUAGGAAUCUGCCUAUUAGUGGGGGACAACAUUUCGAAAGGAAUGCUAAUACCGCAUACGUCCUACGGGAGAAAGCAGGGGAUUUUCGGACAUUGCGCUAAUAGAUGAGCCUAAGUCGGAUUAGCUAGCUGGUGGGGUAAAGGCCUAACAAGGCGACGAUCUGUAGCGGGUCUGAGAGGAUGAUCCGCCACACUGGGACUGAGACACGGCCCAGACUCCUACGGGAGGCAGAAGUGGGGAAUAUUGGACAAUGGGCGGAAGCCUGAUCCAGCCAUGCCGCGUGUGUGAAGAAGGCCUUAUGGUUGUAAAGCACUUUAAGCGAGGAGGAGGCUACUUUAGUUAAUACCUAGAGAUAGUGGACGUUACUCGCAGAAUAAGCACCGGCUAACUCUGUGCCAGCCGCCGCAGUAACAC
rnacentral:rRNA from 1 species